CAGCCGCCACGGUAAUACGGAGGGGGCUGGCGUUGUUCGGAAUUACUGGGCGUAAAGCGCACGUAGGCGGAUAUUUAAGUCAGGGGUGAAAUCCCAGAGCUCAACUCUGGAACUGCCUUUGAUACUGGGUAUCUUGAGUAUGGAAGAGGUUAGUGGAAUUGCGAGUGUAGAGGUGAAAUUCGUAGAUAUUCGCAGGAACACCAGUGGCGAAGGCGGCUAACUGGUCCAUAACUGACGCUGAGGUGCGAAAGCGUGGGGAGCAAACAGGAUUAGAUACCCGCGUAGUCCCUGUCUCUUAUAC
rnacentral:rRNA from 1 species